ensembl:lncRNA
ACUUUUCUUGUAUGGAAAGAAAAAACAACAUACAGGUUUUGAACAACAUGAAAAUCUGUAAAUGAUGACAGAAUUAUAAUUUUUGAGUAGACUAUCCCUUUGAGCGUAACCUGUAGCCUCUGUCAGUUGUGCUUUUGUCCUGAAGCCAUAUGUCGGCUUUUUUUUUAUCUGCUGAGAGAUCAUAUUGUCCUUCUUUAAUGUGCGUUACUUUCUACUAGUUUUAUUUAUGGCUGUCUGUUGUAUACAUUGUGUGGAAGUGAGUUUUUAAUUGUCCUUUUUACUUUUGUUUUAUAUAUCUUUCAUAAAGACCUGUAUUUGUAUUUUAGUGCUUGCAUUGGAGUAAUUACAAAAGAGUGGAUGAUGUCAUAGUUAAAAUAUGAUGUCAUGAUGUGUAUUUACCUUUUUUUUUUGGUUAUUUGUCAUUUAUCAACCCCCCCCCCCCACCACCCCUCCACCCCCACCAUGGUUUGUCAUAACCAAAAAAAAAAGUAAUUCGCCCCUUUUAAAGUCACAUGGACCAAAUGUCUAGGGGUUGGGGUUGUUUUUUCUCUCCUUGUAUGAAUGCCAAACUAUUACUGAAGCAAUAAAACCUGCCCAGUCUUCCUGAGUAUGAGCCCAAUUUCAGAUUGGGGCUUUAGGUUGCCUAAAGAGGAGCCGCUAGUGCCUGUCAAACAGUCUGUACAAUCUUUAAUUCACCCAUACUCCAUAAUCAAGAUAAACUUUUUCUGUAUUCAUAGUGUUUAUGUUUCGGUUGUGCACUAUCUUUGCUAUAGUGCAGCUUGUCUGCAUGAAUACAAAUCUGAAAAAAGGUUACCAGCUACUUGAGAUCCAAAGGUGGAGGGCAAUCACAUCUUCACUGUUGUUUAUUUUGGUUUUUGUUUUCUGCCCAAACCGCGUUCCACCUACAGCCCCUGUGACGGCAGUAGUGGUUUUCACAUGCUUCUGUGUUCUCUUCAUGUCACUCUUUAGCUGCAGGCAGCUCCGCCCACUGUCAUACAUGUAACAAAACUCAAACGACAACCCUUUAGAUGGUUUGUAUGCUGCAUGGUACAUUAAUUAUUUUACACGUGUAAUAGUCAAUUGCACUAUUGUUUGUAUAGCUAACUUAAAUGUGCAGUAAUGCAAAAUGAAUACUGUAUGUAAUAAAGC